UACAGAGGGUGCGAGCGUUAAUCGGAAUUACUGGGCGUAAAGCGCGCGUAGGCGGCUUUGCAAGUCGGGUGUGAAAUCCCCAGGCUUAACCUGGGAACUGCAUUCGAGACUGCAUUGCUAGAGUAUGGGAGAGGGAAGUGGAAUUUCCGGUGUAGCGGUGAAAUGCGUAGAUAUCAGGAGGAACACCGGUGGCGAAGGCGGGUCUCUGGGCCGUAACUGACGCUGAGGAGCGAAAGCGUGGGGAGCAAACAGG
rnacentral:rRNA from 1 species